rnacentral:rRNA from 1 species
CGGUACGCGUAACACGUAAGCAACCUGCCCAAAGACCGGGACAACGUUCCGAAAGGAGCGCUAAUACCGGAUGUGUCCGUCGGGUGACAUCGCCUGACGAGUAAAUCGAGCAAUCGGCUUUGGGAGGGGCUUGCGGCCUAUCAGCUAGAUGGUGGGGUAACGGCCUACCAUGGCGACGACGGGUAGCUGGUCUGAGAGGAUGGUCAGCCGGAUUGGGACUGAGACACGGCCCAG